rnacentral:rRNA from 1 species
GUACUUCGGUACAUAGGAGACAGGUGGUGCAUGGUUGUCGUCAGCUCGUGUCGUGAGAUGUUGGGUUAAGUCCCGCAACGAGCGCAACCCUUAUCUUUAGUAGCCAGCAGUAAGAUGGGCACUCUAGAGAGACUGCCGGGGAUAACCCGGAGGAAGGGGGGGAUGACGUCAAAUCAUCAUGCCCCUUAUGACCAGGGCUACACACGUGCUACAAUGGCGUAAACAAAGAGAAGCGAAGUCGUGAGGCAGAGCGAAUCUCAAAAAUAACGUCUCAGUUCGGAUUGUAGUCUGCAACUCGACUACAUGAAGCUGGAAUCGCUAGUAAUCGCAGAUCAAAAUGCUGCGGUGAAUACGUUCCCGGGUCUUG